GCUGUCCUAGAUCAGAACCACAGGCAUGACCCAGCUGCUCAGCUCUGCCUGUGACACUGGGGCAAAGAGCAAGUGGCUCUUUCUAUGCUCAGUGUUCAGAAGCCAGUGAGCACUAAGAAUGGUUAAUAGCCUGACAUUA
rnacentral:snoRNA from 1 species